rnacentral:rRNA from 1 species
AUUGAACGCUGGCGGCAUGCCUUACACAUGCAAGUCGAACGGUAACAGGCCGCAAGGUGCUGACAAGUGGCGAACGGGUGAGUAAUGCAUCAGAACGUGCCCAGUCGUGGGGGAUAACGCAGCGAAAGCUGUGCUAAUACCGCAUACGAUCUAUGGAUGAAAGCGGGGGACCGUAAGGCCUCGCGCGAUUGGAGCGGCCGAUGUCAGAUUAGGUAGUUGGUGGGGUAAAGGGCCACCAAGCCAACGAUCUGUAGCUGGUCUGAGAGGACGACCAGCCACACUGGGACUGAGACACGGCCCAGACUCCUACGGGAGGCAGCAGUGGGGAAUUUUGGACAAGGGGCGCAAGCCUGAUCCAGCAAUGCCGCGUGUAGGAAGAAGGCCUUCGGGUUGUAAACUGCUUUUGUACGGAACGAAACGGUCUGGGUUAAUACCCUGGGCUAAUGACGGUACCGUAAGAAUAAGCACCGGCUAACUACGUGCCAGCCGCCGCCGUAAGAC